rnacentral:tRNA from 2 species
GGGCCGCUGGCGCAAUGGCAGCGCAUCGGACUUUUAAUCCGCGGGUUCUGGGUUCGAGUCCCAGGCGGCCCAC